GUCUUUGUAGUAUAAUUUAUUACCUCGGUCUUGUAAACCGAAAACGAGGAGCACCUAUCCCCCAAAGGCA
rnacentral:tRNA from 1 species